UGACUGUUUAUCAAAAACAUUUUCUUUUGAUUUAUUUAAAAGGUAAAACCUGCUCACUGAAUUUUUUUAAAUAGCCGCAGUAUUUUAACUGUACUAAGGUAGCAUAAUAAUUAGUCUUUUAAUUGAGGUCUGGAAUGAAUGGUUUAACAAGGUGAAAACUUUCUUAUUUAAAUUACUUUGAAUUUAAUUUUUUAGUUAAAAAGCUAAAAUUUUUAAAUGGGACGAUAAGACCCUAUAGAUCUUAAAUUUUUUUUUAUCUUAAUUUCUUGGUUAAUAAAAUGUUAAAAUUUUAAAAAAAAUUUUUGUUGGGGUGACAUUAAAAUUUUUAAAUCUUUUAAUCAUUUUUACAUAAAUAAAUGUAUAUUUGAUCUUAACAUUUAGAUUAAAAAAUUAAGAUACCUUAGGGAUAACAGCGUAAUAAAUUUGAAUAGUUCAUAUUGAUAAAUUUGUUUACGACCUCGAUGUUGAAUUAAUAUAAAAUUUUAGAGCAGAAACUUAAAGUUUAGGUCUGUUCGACUUUAAAUAUUUACAUGAUCUGAGUUCGAGCCGG
rnacentral:rRNA from 1 species